CAGCAGCCGCGGGAAUACGUAGGUGGCAAGCGUUGUCCGGAAUUAUUGGGCGUAAAGGGCUCGCAGGCGGUUUCUUAAGUCUGAUGUGAAAGCCCCCGGCUCAACCGGGGAGGGUCAUUGGAAACUGGGAAACUUGAGUGCAGAAGAGGAGAGUGGAAUUCCACGUGUAGCGGUGAAAUGCGUAGAGAUGUGGAGGAACACCAGUGUCGAAGGCGACUCUCUGGUCUGUAACUGACGCUGAAGAGCGAAAGCGUGGGGAGCGAACAGGAUUAGAUACCCCUGUAGUCCCUGUCUCUUAUAC
rnacentral:rRNA from 1 species